AGCAGUAGCCGCGGUAAUACGAAGGGUGCAAGCGUUAAUCGGAAUUACUGGGCGUAAAGCGUGCGUAGGCGGUGAAUUAAGUCUGCUGUGAAAUCCCCGGGCUCAACCCGGGAAUGGCAGUGGAUACUGGCUCGCUAGAGUGUGUCAGAGGAUGGUGGAAUUCCCGGUGUAGCGGUGAAAUGCGUAGAGAUCGGGAGGAACAUCAGUGGCGAAGGCGGCCAUCUGGGACAACACUGACGCUGAGGCACGAAAGCGUGGGGAGCAAACAGGAUUAGAUACCCCCGUAGUCCCUGUCUCUUAUAC
rnacentral:rRNA from 1 species